rnacentral:lncRNA from 1 species
AUGGUAGUAAAGUGCACCAGGCUGAAGGCGGAAAGGAGACCACUUCGUGUCCGAUCCUCACCUCCCAGGCACCGUCUCUGCAAAGGCAUCUACAGUAUAUAUCAGCAAAGCGAGCCCAGAGCAAUACAGUGCAACAGACCCACCCUUAUGCUCCACCACGGAUCCCUUCUGAGGUUUCUGCCUGGAACUCAGCUCCCAGAAUCCACUGGGACCUGGCACAGAGAAGGGGAACAGCUCUUGGCACUCGGAGACCACGCAGGAAAUACUUCUGGGCUUUGUGUGGAUGGUGAAAAGUUAAGAAGCCUCUGGAACAAAGACACUGGGCCAUGUCUUAAAGAGUAGGACAAAAUAGAGCUGGCCACACAAAAUGACACCCUGGGAUGUAAAACCUGUUUUGAAGAAGACAAGCCUCAAGGUCAAAGUUCUGUCUUUGCACCACCGAAUGGACACCAUGAGGUGGGAGCAGAGAGGGUGGUGGUUAGUUUUUGAGGGGAACAGGCGAGAACACUUGUCCCAAAGAGUGAGUUUCCUAAGAGGUUGUAAGGCCUGUGUAGGACAGGCUUGAUUUGAGAGUAACAAGAAGAAGAAAGAACACAUUCAGACAGCCAUUACAGCAGGGGAAUUUUCAGGGGAUCCUAGAGCCCUAACUCAGUCUGGAUUUGACCAUCUUACUUCUGCUAGUCUUGAGAUGGCUGAAUUGGGUCUCCAUAGCCAAGGAGAUGUUGAAUGUAGGGGCCUGAAACUGGGGGGCAACUGCAGAAGCUGAGUUUAUCUGGGGAUCCACAAGUGGCUGUAGCAUGCUUCUCUGCUUGGUACAGAAGCAUGUGUCAUAGAUACAAUGAAAGGGACUGAGUUGAGGAACACUCAGGCCUAUUGCAGUCUGGAGGGCACAGAAGGCAGAGGAAUCAGAGAGCCCUGCCAGGGAGCCGGAACACCAGGAGGUCUUAAGGAUGCCAAAUGGUUGUGAGUCACUGAGCUGAGAGUACAGUCCCUUCUAGGCACUUACUGAGGCUGAGGUCACAGAACAGAACAUCAGUCCCAACAUAAGGUGGCAGCUGGAUGGCUGUCUGGAGAAAGCCUGCCAGCCACAGUUCUCACCUGUUGAUAGGACUUAACAGUCUCAUAAAUUCUGAUGCAGGUGUAGGGUGGGGCAAGUUUCUAAAAACAAAUAGUCCUGAAUCUGUGUCUUGGAUGUGUGGUCUCUGAGAAAAUGACUUUGGACCUUUGUUUCCUUAUCUAUAAAAUAAACCUGAUUAAAAUGUUCCUAUUCCUUAAGAG